UUAAGCGACUAAGCGUACACGGUGGAUGCCCUGGCAGUCAGAGGCGAUGAAGGACGUGCUAAUCUGCGAUAAGCGUCGGUAAGGUGAUAUGAACCGUUAUAACCGGCGAUUUCCGAAUGGGGAAACCCAGUGUGUUUCGACACACUAUCAUUAACUGAAUCCAUAGGUUAAUGAGGCGAACCGGGGGAACUGAAACAUCUAAGUACCCCGAGGAAAAGAAAUCAACCGAGAUUCCCCCAGUAGCGGCGAGCGAACGGGGAGCAGCCCAGAGCCUGAAUCAGUGUGUGUGUUAGUGGAAGCGUCUGGAAAGGCGCGCGAUACAGGGUGACAGCCCCGUACACAAAAAUGCACAUGCUGUGAGCUCGAUGAGUAGGGCGGGACACGUGGUAUCCUGUCUGAAUAUGGGGGGACCAUCCUCCAAGGCUAAAUACUCCUGACUGACCGAUAGUGAACCAGUACCGUGAGGGAAAGGCGAAAAGAACCCCGGCGAGGGGAGUGAAAAAGAACCUGAAACCGUGUACGUACAAGCAGUGGGAGCACGCUUAGGCGUGUGACUGCGUACCUUUUGUAUAAUGGGUCAGCGACUUAUAUUCUGUAGCAAGGUUAACCGAAUAGGGGAGCCGAAGGGAAACCGAGUCUUAACUGGGCGUUAAGUUGCAGGGUAUAGACCCGAAACCCGGUGAUCUAGCCAUGGGCAGGUUGAAGGUUGGGUAACACUAACUGGAGGACCGAACCGACUAAUGUUGAAAAAUUAGCGGAUGACUUGUGGCUGGGGGUGAAAGGCCAAUCAAACCGGGAGAUAGCUGGUUCUCCCCGAAAGCUAUUUAGGUAGCGCCUCGUGAAUUCAUCUCCGGCGGUAGAGCACUGUUUCGGCAAGGGGGUCAUCCCGACUUACCAACCCGAUGCAAACUGCGAAUACCGGAGAAUGUUAUCACGGGAGACACACGGCGGGUGCUAACGUCCGUCGUGAAGAGGGAAACAACCCAGACCGCCAGCUAAGGUCCCAAAGUCAUGGUUAAGUGGGAAACGAUGUGGGAAGGCCCAGACAGCCAGGAUGUUGGCUUAGAAGCAGCCAUCAUUUAAAGAAAGCGUAAUAGCUCACUGGUCGAGUCGGCCUGCGCGGAAGAUGUAACGGGGCUAAACCAUGCACCGAAGCUGCGGCAGCGACGCUUAUGCGUUGUUGGGUAGGGGAGCGUUCUGUAAGCCUGCGAAGGUGUGCUGUGAGGCAUGCUGGAGGUAUCAGAAGUGCGAAUGCUGACAUAAGUAACGAUAAAGCGGGUGAAAAGCCCGCUCGCCGGAAGACCAAGGGUUCCUGUCCAACGUUAAUCGGGGCAGGGUGAGUCGACCCCUAAGGCGAGGCCGAAAGGCGUAGUCGAUGGGAAACAGGUUAAUAUUCCUGUACUUGGUGUUACUGCGAAGGGGGGACGGAGAAGGCUAUGUUGGCCGGGCGACGGUUGUCCCGGUUUAAGCGUGUAGGCUGGUUUUCCAGGCAAAUCCGGAAAAUCAAGGCUGAGGCGUGAUGACGAGGCACUACGGUGCUGAAGCAACAAAUGCCCUGCUUCCAGGAAAAGCCUCUAAGCAUCAGGUAACAUCAAAUCGUACCCCAAACCGACACAGGUGGUCAGGUAGAGAAUACCAAGGCGCUUGAGAGAACUCGGGUGAAGGAACUAGGCAAAAUGGUGCCGUAACUUCGGGAGAAGGCACGCUGAUAUGUAGGUGAAGCGACUUGCUCGUGGAGCUGAAAUCAGUCGAAGAUACCAGCUGGCUGCAACUGUUUAUUAAAAACACAGCACUGUGCAAACACGAAAGUGGACGUAUACGGUGUGACGCCUGCCCGGUGCCGGAAGGUUAAUUGAUGGGGUUAGCGCAAGCGAAGCUCUUGAUCGAAGCCCCGGUAAACGGCGGCCGUAACUAUAACGGUCCUAAGGUAGCGAAAUUCCUUGUCGGGUAAGUUCCGACCUGCACGAAUGGCGUAAUGAUGGCCAGGCUGUCUCCACCCGAGACUCAGUGAAAUUGAACUCGCUGUGAAGAUGCAGUGUACCCGCGGCAAGACGGAAAGACCCCGUGAACCUUUACUAUAGCUUGACACUGAACAUUGAGCCUUGAUGUGUAGGAUAGGUGGGAGGCUUGGAAGUGUGGACGCCAGUCUGCAUGGAGCCGACCUUGAAAUACCACCCUUUAAUGUUUGAUGUUCUAACGUGGACCCGUAAUCCGGGUUGCGGACAGUGUCUGGUGGGUAGUUUGACUGGGGCGGUCUCCUCCUAAAGAGUAACGGAGGAGCACGAAGGUUGGCUAAUCCUGGUCGGACAUCAGGAGGUUAGUGCAAUGGCAUAAGCCAGCUUGACUGCGAGCGUGACGGCGCGAGCAGGUGCGAAAGCAGGUCAUAGUGAUCCGGUGGUUCUGAAUGGAAGGGCCAUCGCUCAACGGAUAAAAGGUACUCCGGGGAUAACAGGCUGAUACCGCCCAAGAGUUCAUAUCGACGGCGGUGUUUGGCACCUCGAUGUCGGCUCAUCACAUCCUGGGGCUGAAGUAGGUCCCAAGGGUAUGGCUGUUCGCCAUUUAAAGUGGUACGCGAGCUGGGUUUAGAACGUCGUGAGACAGUUCGGUCCCUAUCUGCCGUGGGCGCUGGAGAAUUGAGGGGGGCUGCUCCUAGUACGAGAGGACCGGAGUGGACGCAUCACUGGUGUUCGGGUUGUCAUGCCAAUGGCACUGCCCGGUAGCUAAAUGCGGAAGAGAUAAGUGCUGAAAGCAUCUAAGCACGAAACUUGCCCCGAGAUGAGUUCUCCCUGACUCCUUGAGAGUCCUGAAGGAACGUUGAAGACGACGACGUUGAUAGGCCGGGUGUGUAAGCGCAGCGAUGCGUUGAGCUAACCGGUACUAAUGAACCGUGAGGCUUAACCUU
rnacentral:rRNA from 1 species